CCAGGCGGUCGGGCGAUCGCGGCGGAUGCUUGCAUCCGGCGAGGAAAGUCCGGGCUCCACGAAACGACGGUGCCGGAUAACGUCCGGCGGCUCCCCUUGCGGGGGUCAGGGACAGUGCAACAGAGAGCAGGUCACGUUUGUCUUUUGGACUUUGGGCUUAGGCCGCGUGAACAGUGAAAGGGUGCGGUAAGAGCGCACCGCGCUCCCGGCAACGGCGAGCGGCGAGGUAAACCCCACCGGGAGCAAGACCGAAUAGGGGCGGCGCGCGGCGCAAGUCGCAGGGCGGUUUCGGCCCAGUCGCCCGGGUUGGUUGCUUGAGGUCGUCGGUAACGGCGAUCCUAGAGGAAUGAUCGCCCAUCCGCGGCGCGUCCCUUCGGGGAUACGGCGGCGGUGGACAGAACCCGGCUUACAGACCGCCUGGCUUU
rnacentral:RNase_P_RNA from 1 species